UUUAAUCUCACAUGAGAAAAUAGCUCCAAAUAGAUGCACAAUUAUGCAAAUGUACAUAUUUGAAAAGCAGAAGUGGAGCGUCCUGCACAACUAACAAGAAUGCAGCAAGUGGUUUCUGGAAGGGAAGUUGACAACAAAACACUUGUCCUUUCCAGCAGCCAUUGUACAGCACAUUCAGCUGUAAAACCAGCUGACCAAACUUGCUGGAGCUCUGAUUGCGUUGCUAGGUGACGGGCUGGGCUUAGCUGGGGUUACUAGGUAAUGGUGCCUCAACAAUCAGGAGGUUUUGGAAACUGUUCAUUUUCCAGACACCAUAAAACAUGAACUUAUUUCCAACAAACAGCUGGGUGGGUUUUUUUAAGCAUUUGGGUUGUUUUAGAUCCAGUUGA